rnacentral:lncRNA from 1 species
UAGAUUUAAGAAGCUUUAAGAUGCACUUCCCUUAACUUAAAUAUGGGUAGAGAUCUGUGAAUAUCCUCAGAAAUAUGAAUAUAGAACAUGAGUGGGACAGGGGAGGAAUUCUUGCCAAUAACAGUUUCUGUAAGAUACACAUCAGAUUUACUUACAUUGAAAAGAAGAGCAGGGCCUGGUGUGAAUCAUUCCACUUGGAUCACGCUUAAACUGCAGGGGAGGUGCCCUUCCCUUGAGCCCACAUUAAAGAGCCUGGGAAAUGGGUGUGAAGAAUGAGAGGCUUUCGCUAUUAUCAGCUGGGUGCUGUGCAAACACAGCAACUGGUAUUUCUAUGUAAGUACACAUGGAAAGAAAGGGAGAGAAAUUUAGAUGGCAUAUAUAAGAGACAUUUUUUUCUUUUUUCUUUUCUGUUUUUUUUUUGCUCAUUACUCUUGAAAAAUCAAAGACCACACAGAAACAAGCCAGUAGCACUGGAAAUCCCCUUGUACUUGUCAUUUUGUUUAGUCACUUAUCAGGAGUCAGGGGAACAGUAGGCUGGAGGCAGACAGGACCAAGUACUUCCAGAUUUAAUGCAACCACUAGACAAGACAAUCAAGAGGAAAUGAAAAACUGGAGCCAUUUCGUUUACUGGAUAGCAGCUGACCUCACUCAUCACUGGCAAGAAAAGGCAUAGUGUAGUAGGAAUUAUUCUGAGGCAGAGAAAAAAAAAAUCACCAGAAAUAAAAGAGCUCCUUGGAAAUAUAUAAGAUGCUGUCAUAGAAGAGGGAUUAGAUUUACCCCAUAAAAUAUUCCAAGGUUUGAUUACAUGACAUCAAAUUUUAAACAAAGAAAUAGGUAACAAAAUAGAGGUCGUGUAGAAUAAACUCCUUGAAAAGGAUGAAAAAGGAUAGAUAGGUUAAGUAAAGAAAUUUUGUUUUUAAAGGUGUUUGAAAAGAAAUGAUCCAGUGGAGAGAGAGAAAAAGCAACAGGUAGUUUGGGAACUAGGCUGUGUGGGAGAUAGGAGGUAUAAUUUUGAAGAAACACAUUACUAACUUUCUUUUGUUGUUGUUGUUGAGAUGGAAUUUCGCUCUUGUCUCGCAGGCUAGAAUGCAGUGGUGCGAUCACGGCUCACUGCAACCUCUGCCUCCCAGGUUCAAGUUUUGAUAUGGACAAGUUAAGAAAAUAAAAACUGUGGGUAUUAGGCAGCAAGUAAAAAGAGUAAGUUAGAGCCAUAUCUGAUCUGGAAGGCUGUACUAUUAAAUGCAAAAAGCAGGUUGCAGUAUGAUGUAUAAUUAUAAUAAUGAAUAUCACACUACUAUUUUCCUAUCUUUAGACUCUGUCGCUUUACAAAAUGAGUUAUAUAUGCAAAUUAAAGUUCCAUAGAAAUCAUGACUGCUUGCAAAAAUUUGAUCUUGAAAGAAAAUGGAAAACUUGCAAGUAAAUAAUGAUUGGAAAAUCUACAUACUAGAUAAAAAAUCAUUGUCUUGAGGAGCUGGCAGGGACCUUGAAGUUUCAGGAGAACCACUAUUUUCAUGGAGCUGAGAGGAUCCACAUGAUUCCUAAAGUAAAUAAAAAAUAAAGGGUUUAGGUUAAUAAAAAUUA